UCGCCAUUUUCUCUCCUCACCCACGCCAUUCCCUUGCUCCCGACGUCGUCUCCCUUCUCGCCUCCUCCCCGAACUCUUCGGCUUCCCCAAACUGAUAGCGUCGCCACGACAUUUCUCUUACCCGAGUACAAAACCGUCGGCUAAGCCCUCUUCCUGUCCUUGUCGCCACCCCGUGCCCUAGAUUGGGUCCACAGCCACCGACACCCCCUUACUGUUGCCUCAUUUCUUCCCUGAUUAGCCGGCCACCCGUGCAAAAUCUCGGCCAAGAGAGAAAGGUCAAGCCCUAGUUUUGUUCGGUGCCACUGGAUCAAGCCGGUGCCACCCGAUCGCCGGUGUGAGAGGGCGUUCAAGACCUCGAGGUCUGUCAUCUUCCCGAUCUGAGGUGCCACCCUUGCUCGGGUUGGUUUUCGGCCAAGAGCAAGGAUCCGAGCCCUAACUUGGUUGGAGUUGAUCGUGAGCGACUUUUUGACGAUUUCUUCCUUCUCCCGUGCUCUGGAAUCUAGCUAUUACCGGUGAUCUUGGCUUUGUUGAUCUCCACAGCCCUCAGAUCUAGCCCCCGCCGGAGAGGGAACCACCGAUUGGUGACAUCUAGGUAGUGUCGGCCACAAAUCUUUGGCAGCUGUAUUGUUCGGCAAGCAUUGUCCAGCAGCUGCUCUUCCUCUUCUUGGCUGUGAGUCAACAGUGGAGACUUUGUGUUGAGGACUCUGAUUUACGACGAGCUACCUUACGUGAGAUUUCUUUUGGCACGCGCUACAUUUGAGGCGGGUACCUUGACUUAUCUUUUAGAUAUUGCCAUUUGAUAUGCAUAGUGGAUUUUAAUAAGUAGUAAUAAUUAUGUUAUAUCUGCAUCGGUAUGUUAUUGCUUGAUUCCUUCAGCAUGCUUAUUUAUUACCUGUUUUGCAUCCAUUACCCUCUUGAUUAUUUAUGCUCAUAGAGGUAGUAACAUAUCAUGUCUUAUGAUAUAUCGGACUAGACAUUUACCAUAUCUGAUACGUGUACCUAGAUCUUCGUAUUUGAGUCAUUUAUUUUUGAAACAUGUUUUAUGGUGGUAGAUAUGGUCAGGAUUUUCAUGCUUAGUGUCAUGCACUAUAUU